rnacentral:rRNA from 1 species
UACGUAGGGUGCAAGCGUUGUCCGGAAUUAUUGGGCGUAAAGAGCUCGUAGGCGGUCUGUCGCGUCGGCUGUGAAAACUGGAGGCUCAACCUCCAGCCUGCAGUGGGUACGGGCAAACUAGAGUGCGGUAGGGGAGAUUGGAAUUCCUGGUGUAGCGGUGGAAUGCGCAGAUAUCAGGAGGAACACCGAUGGCGAAGGCAGAUCUCUGGGCCGUAACUGACGCUGAGGAGCGAAAGCAUGGGGAGCGAACAGG